AAACUUGGUUUGAGGUUCCUUUUUGUCCCAUGAUCUCAAUUACUGUUAGUAAAAUAGUUGCUUCUACUUCAUCAACCCUUCUACAAAGUGAUUCUGUGCAGUUUGGAAUUGGAAUAAUUAACAGGUUCAUAUGGAAACAGCCUUACAGAGCUAAGGGCAUAGUAACAUAUGCCAAGACAAGCAGCCUGGAAGACAAGAAACUGAUAAAUUGUCUGGAUAGCACCACUUCAAAUGCAAAUGUUGUGGAAGGAACCCUACUAUGGCAACACAGCUGUACAGCCAUCAGUUAUGAGAUGAGUGCCUAUUUGCACCCUUGCACUGUGCACAGCUGGAACAGAAGAAUUUUUGCUGUGAUGUCCUCCAGUUGUCCUCUGCUGAAAUCUGAGCUAUCAUGCUGAGGUGCAGAAGACAAAAGAAAGGAAAAAAAAAAACAACAUUGAUACAUUAUUCAUUAUUCAUGCCAGAGAAAGAGAGAGGCAGUGAUGGAGAAAAGAGAAGACAAGGCUUCUCCUUCAAGAGGAUGUUCCAGAUGCAGUACCCUGCAGGUGGUGAUUUGCUGAGACUCUGAAUAUAACUUCUCACACCAAAGAGUGGCAGCAUUUCCUUGUUAUCUAUUGUUUCUGGAGAUAGACCAACAAGGUGACACUCAAGCAGGAAUGGAGCACUGUCUCGAUACUGCGACGGUAACAAUAAGGAAACUGAGAAAUGAACGUGAAGAACUCAGGAUUCUCAGUAAAAACAGGAGGCAUAGGCACACCAACACAGCACAGGGAAUUUGAAUAGAGAAUACAUUUUAAGAGGGUUUUCUAUUAUUGUCAACUAAAUUUAGGAUGUUGAUCUGCUUUGCUCACAAAUAGUUAAUGAAACAGGGGCAUGCAACUUUACUUUUUACAAGAAAUUAAGAAGUAUAAGGGUUACAUAACGGAGGAAGGAAAUGAACAUCUGUGGCUUCAUGGUGCUUUUUACACAUAAGAAAAUUAUUUGGGGGAUUUGUUGCUUACAGACAUCUGCUUAGCAGUGAUGCCAGAGCCAGCCAGCCUCAUUAGCUUUGACAGAUGACCAAUACCACCUAAUAGCCUUGAUUCUGACAGACAGAUCAUUUGCUUCAGCCAUAUAAAAUCUAUCUAAAUAAUUGAUAAAAACAGACAUAUGUACAAAAUAAAAAAUUGAAACAGGCUUUUGAAUGCUGAAACUUAAACCCAUUUAGGUGUUGAAUUUGGCAUGGAACAAUGGUCACAAUUUAGACUUGCAGGAAAUAAGACCCAUGUGGCUUACCUUCCUGCUUUUGGGGCAUAAUCAGAUAAUCUUUUGCCUAUAUAGUUGGAAUGACCAAAGCAAUGACCACACAGGUGCUUGUUACUGCCUCAGUGCUGAAAAAGCAAGGAACUUCAAUAUGUAGUCAUCUUUUUUUAUAACCUGUUUGGAGUUGCCUAAUUUGUUCUGUCAUUAAGUUUUUAGUUUCAGUCUUGUAAAUGAAGUAGAUAUAUCAAGCAGUAACUAUGUUUAAUUUCUGCUAUCCACCCAUGAAUAAUAAGCUAUUCCCCAACAAUGAAAAUAUAAUGGAAGAACUAUGAAUUACAACUGAUUGUGGUUAAACUGAUUUUUAUUUCUCAGAAAUACCUUUUGAAAACACUUCAGAACUUGCACCCAUGAUUUAUUCAGUUGUGAUUCUGUUUUGCUGAUGCAUUUGCAUAUUUUCCUUCACGUUUAAUGAUUUAGUAUCAUGUUUUGUUGUUUUUUUUUUUUUCCAGUUUAAAUGAAUAACUGAAACUUGUUCAGUAUUUACAUUUCACUGCUGUAUACCUCAAAUCAUUUUACUGGUAUUCAAUCUAAUGAUGUAAUGUUAUGAGUUCUCACUUUCAUGAAUAUUAAUAGAAAUGGAAAAUGCUUCAAAUGAUCUACAAGUUUUCAAAAAUUAAAUAUUUGGAGAAAAACUC
ensembl:lncRNA